GCAGGAGCCAAGUACUCCUUUCCAGCAGAGGUGGGGCCUCCCAUCUCCUGAACUCCAGGAAUAGCUCUGAGGACAGCAUCCAACUCUCUCUUCCACUCUAGCUACUGCAGGAUGCAAUCUUAGUGGAAUGUGAAUGUGACUCACAGUAGCUGCACCUGGGGAAAGAAAAAACAUCUAUGCAUUCACCCAUCUGGCAGACAAAUAGCAAGGUGUGUACAGGAGCUUCAAAGCAGCAACAGGAGUAACCCAAUUCAGUACAAUGGCACAUGAAAAACCAGAUUUGCAAGUUUUGGAGGACAUCACAGGGAAUCAUCAGAUUAGCAUGCAUGGAUAAUGAAGAUGAUAAUGACUUUAAUGUUAGCCAUGCAGGUUCCUGUGAAAGUGAAAUGGAGCAAGAACUGACUGAUACAGACACAGGGAAUGCAGACCUCCUUGAUUCAGAUGAAGCGAACAGCAAUAUGAUUUAUGGAGAAAGACAAUGAACCUAGAAUAAAUGUCAUUGAUUUUGCACCUCUGUGAGAAGGUUGCUUCCUCACCUCACAGUGCUGGCUGAAAGAGGCCAGCUUCAGCACCAGGACAGUGGGAGCAGUCCACCUGCACCUUCAUGCCCAGAGCGACUUGGAGUGAAACAGUGCACCCGCCUGGCCCACUUGAUUGCUGACCGACCCAGGGUUCU